rnacentral:rRNA from 1 species
GGGGUGCAGCAGGCGCGAAAACUUUGCAAUGCGGGAAACCGUGACAAGGGAACUCUGAGUGCCCGUUAAAUCGGGCUGUCCAUCGGUUUAAAUAACCGGUGAAGAAAGGGCCGGGCAAGACCGGUGCCAGCCGCCGCGGUAAUACCGGCGGCUCGAGUGGUGGCCACUAUUACUGGGCUUAAAGCGUUCGUAGCUGGUUUGUUAAGUCUCUGGGGAAAUCUUCCGGCUUAACCGGAAGGCGUCUCAGGGAUACUGGCAGACUAGGGACCGGGAGAGGUGAGAGGUACUCCAGGGGUAGGAGUGAAAUCCUGUAAUCCUUGGGGGACCACCUGUGGCGAAGGCGUCUCACCAGAACGGCUCCGACAGUGAGGGACGAAAGCUGGGGGAGCAAACCGGAUUAGAUACCCGGGUAGUCCCAGCUGUAAACGAUGCGCGUUAGGUGUAUCGGUGACCACGAGUCACCGAGGUGCCGAAGAGAAAUCGUGAAACGUGCCGCCUGGGAAGUACGGUCGCAAGGCUGAAACUUAAAGGAAUUGGCGGGGGAGCAC